UUUGAGGUGAUUGAUUUAUGUUUGGAGACACUUUCUUAUAAGUGAUUCUUAUGAGUUGAUGUUGUUUGGAUAG
rnacentral:pre_miRNA from 1 species